rnacentral:rRNA from 1 species
CCUACGGGGAGCAGCAGUGGGGGAUAUUGCACAAUGGGGGAAACCCUGAUGCAGCGACGCCGCGUGGGUGAAGAAGCGCCUCGGCGCGUAAAGCCCUGUCAGCAGGGAAGAAAAUGACGGUACCUGAAGAAGAAGCCCCGGCUAACUACGUGCCAGCAGCCGCGGUAAUACGUAGGGGGCAAGCGUUAUCCGGAUUUACUGGGUGUAAAGGGGGCGCAGGCGGCGAUGCAAGCCAGGAGUGAAAGCCCGGGGCCCAACCCCGGGACUGCUCUUGGAACUGCGUGGCUAGAGUGCAGGAGGGGCAGGCGGAAUUCCUGGUGUAGCGGUGAAAUGCGUAGAUAUCAGGAGGAACACCGGUGGCGAAGGCGGCCUGCUGGACUGCAACUGACGUUGAGGCCCGAAAGCGUGGGGAGCAAACAGGAUUAGAUACCCCAGUAGUC